AGUCUGAUCAUGGCUCAGAUUGAACGCUGGCGGGAUGCUUUAAGCACAUGCAAGUCGAACGGCAGCACGCCCCUGGUCUGGUGGCGAGUGGCGAACGGGUGAGUAAUGCAUCGGAACGUGCCUAGUAGCGGGGGAUAACUACGUGAAAGGUAGCUAAUACCGCACAUUACCCUUCGGGGAAAGUGGGGACCUUCGGGCCUCAACUAGAGCGGCCGAUAUCGGAUUAGCUAGUUGGUGGGGUAACGGCUCACCAAGGCGACGAUCCGUAGCUGUUUGAGAGGACGACCAGUCACACUGGACUGGAGACACGGCCCGACUCUACGGGAGGCAGCAGGGGGGAAUUUUGGACAAUGGGGAAACCCUGAUCCAGCCAUCUCAUGUGUGCGAUGAAGGCCUUCGGGUUGUAAAGCACUUUUGGCAGGAAAGAAACGGCACGGGAUAAUACUCCCGUAACUGACGGUACCUGCAGAAUAAGCACCGGCUAACUACGUGCCAGCAGCCGCGGUAAUACGUAGGGGUGCAAGCGCGUUAAUCGGAAUUACUAAGUGAAAGCGUGCGCAGGCGGUUCGGAAAGAAAGAUGUGAAAUCCCAGAGCUUAACUUUGGAACUGCAUUUUUAACUACCGGAGCUAGAGUGCGUCAGAGGGAGGUGGAAUUCGCGUGUAGCAGUGAAAAUGCGCGCAGAUAUGCGGAGGAACACCGAUGGCGAAGGCAGCCUCCCUGGGAUAACACCGGACGCUCAUGCACGAAAGCGUGGGGAGCAAACAGGAUUAGAUACCCCACUCUGGUAGUCCACGCCCUAAACGAUAGUCAACUAGCUGUUGGGGCCUCGGGCCUUGGUAGCGCAGCUAACGCGUGAAGUUGACCGCCUGGGGAGUACGGUCGUGAAGAUUAAAACUCAAAGGAAUUGACGGGACCUGCACAAGCGGUGGAUGGGAUUACCCGAUGCAACGCGAAAAACCUUUACCUACCCUUGACAUGUCUGGAAUCCUGAAGAGAUUUGGGAGUGCUCGCAAGAGAACUGGAACACAGGUGCUGCAUUAUUGCCGUCAGCUCGUGUCGUGAGAUGUUGGGUUAAGUCCCGCAACGAGCGCAACCCUUGUCAUUAGUUGCUACAGCGGGCACUCCUAAUGAGAUCGCCGGUGACAAACCGAGGAAGGUGGGGAUGACGUCAAGUCCUCAUGGCCCUUAUGGGUAGGGCUUCACACGUCAUACAAUGGUCGGGACAGAGGGUCGCCAACCCGCGAGGGGGGAGCUAAUCCCAGAAACCCGAUCGUGAACUGAUCGCAGUCUGCAACUCACCUGCGCCAGUCGGAAUCGCUAGUACUGGUGGAUCAGCAUGUCGCGGUGAAUACGUUCCCGGGUCUUGUACACACCGCCCGUCACACCAGCGGGAGUGGGUUUCACCAGAAGUAGUUAGCCUAACCGUAAGGAGGCGAUUACCACGGUAGGAUUCAUGGACUGGGGUGAAGUCGUAACAAGGCAG
rnacentral:rRNA from 1 species